rnacentral:rRNA from 1 species
GUCGAGCGGAUGAAGGGAGCUUGCUCUCUGAUUCAGCGGCGGACGGGUGAGUAAUGCCUAGGAAUCUGCCUGGUAGUGGGGGACAACGUCUCGAAAGGGACGCUAAUACCGCAUACGUCCUACGGGAGAAAGCAGGGGACCUUCGGGCCUUGCGCUAUCAGAUGAGCCUAGGUCGGAUUAGCUAGUUGGUGAGGUAAUGGCUCACCAAGGCGACGAUCCGUAACUGGUCUGAGAGGAUGAUCAGUCACACUGGAACUGAGACACGGUCCAGACUCCUACGGGAGGCAGCAGUGGGGAAUAUUGGACAAUGGGCGAAAGCCUGAUCCAGCCAUGCCGCGUGUGUGAAGAAGGUCUUCGGAUUGUAAAGCACUUUAAGUUGGGAGGAAGGGCAGUAAGCGAAUACCUUGCUGUUUUGACGUUACCGACAGAAUAAGCACCGGCUAACUCUGUGCCAGCAGCCGCGGUAAUACAGAGGGUGCAAGCGUUAAUCGGAAUUACUGGGCGUAAAGCGCGCGUAGGUGGUUUGUUAAGUUGAAUGUGAAAUCCCCGGGCUCAACCUGGGAACUGCAUCCAAAACUGGCAAGCUAGAGUAGGGCAGAGGGUGGUGGAAUUUCCUGUGUAGCGGUGAAAUGCGUAGAUAUAGGAAGGAACACCAGUGGCGAAAGCGACCACCUGGGCUCAUACUGACACUGAGGUGCG